rnacentral:rRNA from 1 species
CCUACGGGUGGCUGCAGUCGAGAAUCUUCGGCAAUGGGCGCAAGCCUGACCGAGCGACGCCGCGUGCGGGAUGAAGGCCUUCGGGUUGUAAACCGCUGUCAGAGAGGCGGAAAUGCGUAGGGGUUCUCUCCUACGUUUGACCUAAUCUCAGAGGAAGGACGGGCUAAGUUCGUGCCAGCAGCCGCGGUAAUACGUACCGUCCAAACGUUAUUCGGAAUCACUGGGCUUAAAGAGUUCGUAGGCGGCUCAGAAAGUUGGGUGUGAAAUCCCCCGGCUCAACCGGGGAAUGGCGCUCAAAACUACUGGGCUUGAGGAAGAUAGAGGUGAGCGGAACUGAUGGUGGAGCGGUGAAAUGCGUUGAUAUCAUCAGGAACACCGGAGGCGAAGGCGGCUCACUGGGUCUUACCUGACGCUGAGGAACGAAAGCUAGGGGAGCGAACGGGAUUAGAUACCCCUGUAGUC